GACGAACGCUGGCGGCGUGCUUAACACAUGCAAGUCGAACGGACAGGCCCUGCUUUCAGUGUUCUCGAGUGGCGAACGGGUGAGUAACUCGUGGGUGAUCUGCCCUGCACUUCGAGUUAAGUCUGGGCAACUGGGUCUAAUACCGGCUAGGUGCCAUUUUUAGUGUGAUGGUUGGAUAGUUUUUUGGGUGUAGGAUGAGCUGGCUGCCUAUCAGCUUGUUGGUGGGGUAAUGUCCUACCAAGGCGGCUACGGGUAGCCGGCCUGAGAGGGUGGACGGCCACAUUGGGACUGAGAUACGGCCCAGACACCUACGGGACGGAGAAGUGGGGAAGAGUGAACAAGGGGCGCAAGCCGGAUGCAGCGACGCCGCGUAGGGGAUGACGGCCUUCGGGUUGUAAACUACAUGCGCAAGGGACGAAGCUUUUUGUGACGGUACCUAGAGAGGAAGCAACGGCUAACUACGUG
rnacentral:rRNA from 1 species